rnacentral:rRNA from 1 species
CAUAUCAAUAAGCGGAGGAACAGAAACCAACAGGGAUUGCCUCAGUAACGGCGAGUGAAGCGGCAAGAGCUCAAAUUUGGAACCCUCGGGAUUGUAAUUUGUAGACCUGGCAUUGGAGGAAGCUAACCCAAGUUACUUGGAAUAGUACGUCAUAGAGGGUGACAACCCCGUCUGGCUAACCGUCCUCCAUGUAUUGCCUCGUCAAAGAGUCGAGUUGUUUGGGAAUGCAGCUCAAAGUGGGUGGUAAACUCCAUCUAAAGCUAAAUACUGGUGAGAGACCGAUAGCGAACAAGUACAGUGAUGGAAAGAUGAAAAGGACUUUGGAAAGAGAGUGAAACAGUAUGUGAAAUUGUUGAUAGGGAAGGAUAUGAGUGGAGAGUGGCCUAGGCUUCAGCAGUCCCUCGGGGCUGUGUACUGCCGACGCCGAGUCAUUGACAGCGAGACGAGAGGGACAAACGGGUUGCACUUGUGCCUCCUACCUACCUCUCCCACUGCCGCCAACGACAUAAUCCACCCAUAUCACCCGUCUUGAAACACGGACCAAGGAGUCUAAUGGAUAUGUGAGUGUUAGGGUGGCAAACCCCAGCGCGCAAUGAAAGUGAAUGCUUCGUUCAGAAGCGACCGAACUAGAUCACUAUGACAGUUUUGAGUAAACACAUCCAUUGGGACCCGAAAGAUGGUGAACUAUGCCUGAAUAGGGUGAAGUCAGAGGAAACUCUGAUGGAGGCUCGUAGCGGUUCUGACGUGCAAAUCGAUCGUAGAAUUUGGGUAUAGGGGCGAAAGACUAAUCGAACCAUCUAGUAGCUGGUUCCUGC